UUAGGAAUUAACUUGUUCUAAAACAAGCUUACGUGGGAUAUAUAUUUGACCUAAUUCUAUAUACAUAGAAAGUGUCAUUCAAGCUGGGAAUAUUAAUUAUUCUAGAUCCAUUAAUGGGAGUUUUCUUCUCUUAUAAAGGUGUGAUGGAUUGAGAGAAAGCAAGAUUAGGGUUUCCAUAAAUGGGAUGACUAGUGCCUAUAACUUGAGAAAGAGCUGAUACCAUGGCUGUCAUGUCUUGCUGGGAUCUAGCUGAAUACAUAGGGAAGAUGGUUUGAUCAUCUUCUUCAUCUUGAUCUUGAUCUUCUGCUUCCCUCUUCUCCGAUGAUUCAUGAUCGGAUGAGAAGGGAUACCUCGGAUCCACUUUUGAUGAACUGCUUGAAAACAAAUUGAUGUAUAUAAUGAAGAAAUAUUUGAUCAGAUUGAUCACAAGACUGAUGAUCUUGAUUGGCUUUGACGGUCAAGACUCAUGAAUUAAGACCAGGAGGAAGUUGGACUGUAACUAGAAGAAGAAGUAGAGGAAGAGAGGGAAUUAUGACAAUGGAUGGGAUAGUGACUUCGGAUGGAGAUUAAAUAGGCAACCUAUAUUAUGUUUUGUGGGUUUAUUUAUUUAGAAAUACUUCACUUUAAAUUAAAGUUUCUUUUUC